rnacentral:rRNA from 1 species
AAGCUCGUAGUUGAAUUUCGGGAUUAGUACGUGGUCGUGCCUUAGGUACGUACUGGUGUUACUGGUUCCUACCUUCUGACGAACCAUCAUGUCAUUAAUUUGGUGUGGUGGGGAAUCAGGACUGUUACUUUGAAAAAAUUAGAGUGUUUAAAGCAGGCUCGCGCUUGAAUACAUUAGCAUGGAAUAAUGAAAUAGGACGUUGAUCCUAUUUUAGUUGGUUUCUAGGAUNACCGUAAUGAUUAAUAGGGAUAGUUGGG